GCGGGUGUGGCGGAAUUGGCAGACGCGCCAGAUUUAGGUUCUGGUGGGAGACCGUGCAGGUUCGAUUCCUGUCACCCGCA
rnacentral:tRNA from 1 species